AACGUAGGAGGCAAGCGUUAUCCGGAAUUACUGGGCGUAAAGGGCGUCUAGGCGGUAAGGCAAGCGCGAUGUGAAAACUCCUGGCUCAACUGGGAGAGUGCGUAGCGAACUGCUUAACUAGAGGCCAGGCGAUGGGGGUGGAAUUCCCGGUGGAGUGGUGGAAUGCGUAGAGAUCCGGAAGAACACCAAAGGCGAAGGCACCAUCCUGGGGAGUCACUGACGCUCGGGUGCGAAAGCCAGGGGAGCGAACGGG
rnacentral:rRNA from 1 species